UACGUAGGGUGCGAGCGUUACUCGGAAUUACUGGGCGUAAAGCGUGCGCAGGCGGUUUUGUAAGCCAGGUGUGAAAUCCCCGGGCUCAACCUGGGAAUGGCAUUUGGGACUGCAAGGCUGGAGUGCGGCAGAGGAGACUGGAAUUCCUGGUGUAGCAGUGAAAUGCGUAGAUAUCAGGAGGAAUACCGAUGGCGAAGGCAGGUCUCUGGGCUGACACUGACGCUCAUGCACGAAAGCGUGGGGAGCAAACAGG
rnacentral:rRNA from 1 species